GCAGGAAGGUCCGAGGCUUGGGGAGCAGCCGUUGGCUCUGGUGCCCCUGGGGGUGGGAGCACGAGUGGGCAAGGAUGAUGGUGAGGCAGAGGAGGCGGCCCCGACCCGGCGAGCUCGAGGGAGCGCCCGGCUGAGAGGCGGGGGGCCGAGGGGCCCGGGGAGCGGGCGCCACCGAGGGCCCUGGAAGCGGCAGGGCUUGGGGAGAGGAGACGCGUGUGUGGAGCGUGGGGACCCCAGCCCAGCUCCCACUUGCAGACCUGGGCCGCGGGCUGCCGGCCGAGUGGCCGGGGGGCCUGGCUGCCCAGGAGGCGGGCCGGGGCCGCGGCCGGGGGCGCGGAGCGGAGUUAGGGUCACCAGGCCGAGCAGAGGUGGGACGGACCGACGCAGAGAGGAAGGGAAGCCACCUGGCCUGAAGAUCCUGUCUCUAAGAUCCCAUUCUGAGGCUUCGAGGGUCUGGCUUGAGCAGCACAGACAGGGACGUGUCUAACCGGGAUGACCAUGAGGUCUCA
rnacentral:lncRNA from 1 species